ACCCUAGCCGCCCCCCCUUUUUCCCCCUUGGGUUGUUGCAGCCGCCCCUUCCCCUCCCCUUUCUCUUGGACGCCCCCCCUCUCCCAUCUUCUUCCUCCUCAAACCUUUGCAGCCCUCACCACCCAAAACCCUAGCCGCCCCCCCCCAUUUCUCCCCCUCCUCCAAGGUGCAGCCCUCCCGUGUGGUUCUCCGUCGUGUGGCUGCGAUCUCAAUUGGAGUUUGGAGGGAGGAAGAAGGAAGGAGAAAGGGAAGAACCUAAGGUGAAUUUGUGAUUAACUUUUGUUGUUUUUGUGCUGCAAUCAAUUGGAUUAUGUGUUUAUCUUUGCGAAUCGGUAGAGGUGCUGUCCAGGAAUUUUGUGAGUGGGUGAACAGCAGUAGUUCUAGGGAUUUCUGGGAAUUUUCGUGGGGUAAUUAGUGGGAAUCAGUGGGAUAAUCAUGUAGAGCUUUGUCAUACCUUUCCAACGAGUACUUAUGCGCUCGAUUCGGAGUUAUAAUUUAGGAGAUAUCGUUGUUUGAAUCCGGGUAUGUUGCUGUCCAAAAAAACAGAUUUUUCAGGUGGAUGAACAGCAGUAGUAUUAGCAGUUUCUGGGAAUUUUUCGUGGGUAAUUAGUAUUAACCAGUAUUAUAAUCAUGUAGGGCUUUGUCUUAUCUUUCCAAUGAGUACUUAUGUGCUUGAUUUGGAACUAUAUUUUAAAAGAUAUCGCUGUUUGAAUCCGGGUAUGUUGCUGUCAAAAAAAAACAGAUUUUUCAGGUGGGUGAACAGCAGUAGUAUUAGCAGUUUCUGGGAAUUUUUCGUGGUUAAUUAGUGCUAACUAGUAUGAUAAUCAUGUAUGGCUUUGUCUUAUCUUUCCAAUGAGUACUUAUGCGCUUGAAUUGGAAUUAUAUUUUAAAAGAUAUCGCGGUUUGAAUCCGGGUAUGUCGCUGUCCAAAAGAGAAAAAAACAGAUUACAGGGUUCAUCUUGUGAACUGUUUUGGGCUAAUUAGAUGUUGGAAUUUAAUUAUAAAUUGUAUACAAAACUUGUGGGGAAUUUUAUGUAGAUGUCUCUGGAGUAUUUGUUUGUUACCAAUGCUGUCAUAAUUUUGAAGUUAUGAAAUUAUUAAGCAGCGCCGCUGCAGUUUGGUGGGUGUGGGGAGAGAUGUAACCCGCGGCGGGGUUUGAGUUUGUGCGUAGGUGCGGCGUCGUUUAUGAGCCUGGUUAUGUGAAAUUGGUGCACUAAGUUGUGUGUCAAAAACAGGUGGUGGACUUCCGGAUCGUACUUAGGGAUUUGCCCAAACUUCCGGUAAAGGCAAGUAAAUACAGUGGUGGUUGCUACCGUUUGGUUUGCAUCCUAUUCCCUGUCAUUGAGUAUGCAUAAGUUUUAAAUAUGUUAAUCAUUGAAUUCUAUGAUGAAGUUUAUUUGUUUGGAAGUAUUAAUUCUCAAUUGUCUAAUAUUGUGGACGAUCAUAAUUGGAUAAUGAUAUAUGUGGUGGAUUCCCAUCUUGGAUGAAGUUGAAGUAUUUUUUUUGAAUCACAUUAUGUGAAGUGUUGUAGACAUGACAUGCACAUCGCAUCAUCCAUCUUGCAUUUUGAAGUUAUGUCGUGAUCUUAUGGUCCGACCGUACCGGUACAUUUUUAGCAUCGUACGUUGCCCGAGGAGGGGUACGAUGCGGCUUCAUAUCCUUAGAGGUAUGAAGGCAGAAGUCAUCCUUGCAUUUGCAGACAUUUGCAUUCAUGAGGAAUAUAUGAAGUGUGACAUUACUAUGUUACUAUUGUGGUUUCUACCUGCGAGGUGUGGUAACUAGGUGUGUUGUACGUUGUAUACGUGCUGCACCUUCGUAAUAAGAAGGUUGUGGAAUCAAGUGGUGGUAAAACAAUGUUCUUAUGUGGUUAAACUGUUUGAUAUUAUUUUACUUGCUGAGAUGUGUCAUCUCACUCUUGCAUUACUCAAUGCAGGUACUGGAUACAUGUUGGGAAUGAGGGGAGUAGCAGCACGUCCACUUUCACUCUCACAAUAACGCUGCUCAGGCGCAGCCAGGAGUUAAUUAGAAACUUAUUGUCAAAGGAAGUUUGUUUUUUUAUAUAGUCAUGCGCACUGGUUAAGUCAGUUCAGGUCGUAUGUUAAUCUUUCCUUGCUAGCCGAUUAAUAAUACUUAGUAUGUUUUUGGCAUGAUAUAUGUUUAUACACUGUUGCCCCCUCAUUUAUGCAAACUUGCAAAGGGGAUGCUGCCGAAAUUUUAUAUAUGGACGUCAGAAGUGUAGUUCAGUAGCAUUCCAGGUUGUUUGUGGAACCCGGGGUGUUACAGUUGGUAUCAGAGGAUAGGCUUUAGAUUCUACGCAAUUUGAAGAUAAAUUUGACACACUUGCACAUAUAGGAAGGGUAUGGGUUCAUACAUCUUUCAUAUUAGUAUUUUAUUGUAUAGAUGACUAGAAUUUCUUUACUCCAAAUCCCUUUAUGGUUUGAUGGGGUAUGUCGUUAACGACGUAAUGCUUGAUAUGAUAUGUUACUUCUAUUUAAUAUUGGUUUCUUGAUGUGGUUGUUAUUGAAAAUAUUAUGCAAGUGAAGCUACUAAUGUACUUGUGAUAUAUACAUAUCGUCAUGAUGUUUUUUUGGAUGCAAUGUUUUCAAAUCUCUGAGCUAAUACUACCAUAUAUUUUUGUAUGCUUGACUGUGGAUGUUUUUUUUUUCCAAAAGGAUUCUUGGGUUCUAGUACUUGUAGGACCGAUUGUUUAUUGAGCUUGUGUAUAGAGGAUCUAAUCCGACUUGGUGUAGUGUGAAAACACUAUACAAUGUAGUUUUAUGUUGUUGUUGAGUUUGAUUGACUGUUGGGUUACAACCCAACUUAUCAAUGUAACAUUUCCAUGGGUGCUGUGCUUUACGCCUCACCUUUUUUUUUUGGCAAGGGUGGCUACUUGCCAACUUGAUCUUAGAGUACAAUAGGUUUGUCUCCAUAGAGCAAAGGCAAUGUUGUACUGUCUAUGAAAUCUUGAGACUGGUAGAACUCAAGUGAGUUUGUAAGAUGAUGUGGAUAGAUAAGUUCAACCAUGUUUACAUGAUAGGUUUUUCUUAUUGUGUGCAACAUUAUCUUUAAUAAUAAAUAGGGUGAUUUCAAGUGGAUUUUAUGUCUAUAUUAUAGUUGAAGAGGCAUGCAUGUUUUCCUUCUAUGGUUUGUUUCUAUAGCCAAAAAGGUUAUGCAUAAUUUUUAUUUGUUGGAGGCUAGUCAGGUGGACGAUAUGGACAACCCGUUUUAUAUUGUUUUUAAUCGCCGAUGAUAUAUGGUAGUUUUUUUUAUAUGAUCGGUUCUCUAUGCAUGCUUGUUGAAUUAUUAUUUGGACCGCUUUAUCUUAAACAAAGUCAAUGCUUAACUGGAAGUUGCUUAUGUUUGUUAGUCAUCUAUCUCUAUAAUGAUGUGGUUGUUGCAUCAGAUGGAGAUUUUUUUUAUAUGAAUGAUGGUUUGAUAGAUCAUGUAUGUCUACUACUUUGAAUUCAUCCUAUGACAUCACGAGGUACAAAUUGUUCAAGUGCAAUAAUAGGAGGUAUUGUUGUAUGUGAGGUUAAUCAAGGUAGUUUGGUUAGGUGGAUUGUCUUAUUGAAGUCCAAUUACUCCUGUUGAGCAUAGUAUCAUCUUAUUAUUUUAGUGUUGAAAGUAAUAUUUAUGAAGCUUUUGCAUGAGUCUGUGUCAAGAAGUACAUUAGUUUUUCUUGUUGUUAUCCCUCCAUUGCUUUAUGAGUAGUGCAAAUUUUAUCUCUUUUGAGAGGAGAAAAAGAUGUUAUGACAUGAGCACCAUUUGCUUCACGUCAACAGAAUAGUUUUGGAGAUUUCUAGUAGUUGGAUUCUAGUGUAAUAACAACCAUGUUUUAUAGUGCUUGAGACGAGUAUGUCAGGUGUUUCAUACAUUGUCGAUACAUGGAUGUUUGACCUUAGUGGCAUUAACUAACGAGGUUGUUGAAUUCAUUGAUUGUUGUGCUUAGUGUUCUAACGUAUUUGGUAGAGUGUUAUUUAAAGACUUGGUGGAGUUGCAUCCCAGUUUGGUAGUGGAAAAUCCUAGUGUUGAUUGCACCUGCCAAUGACUUGGGUUUCAUUUUAUAUUAUUUUUUUAUUGUUGUUAAUGUGUUGUUUGGUUUCGGGAGGCAUUUUAAAUUAGUUGGAGGCUGAAUCAGGCUUCACUUAUCUAGAAUGUUUUGUAGUAUGUUUCUUCAUCUUUCCAUAGGAUGCUUAAUCACCAUGUUUGGUCUAAACAAUUAAGAGUUAUGGGUUUCUUAAAACAUCCUUGUUGGUGUCUCUGGCAGAGUGAGUCUUUAAUUUUGUACAGAAGAGUAGACAUUGAAGACGGUAUAAUUUGGUCUUUGUGGAUUAUGAAAGUUUUAGUAAUUUCAUGACCUUUUCAAAGAGUAUUGGUUUCUAAUUCUUAUUGCAUAUAAUUGGAGUCAGGCUGCUCUGAAGUUGUUGCACUGUUGUGUCUAAACUUCAGGUGUCGUUAUAGUCACCAAUAAAUCGGCCGCGUUUUGAUAGUUGCAGAGCCCAAAUUUGGGAAUUCUCUUUAAGCAAAACUUGUAGGUCUUUUCUGUACCUUUUUAAUGGGUAUUUACUUGUAACUGUCUGUUAAAUAGAUUUGGAGAGGUGGUUGCCCGGAUAUAAGUCGAAUCUCUAUUGUGCAGUAUCUCAGGCUGAGUUUAGCGGUAGGUCAUGCAGAGUUGAGGGUUAUAAGGAUAAAUUUGGGUGCAAUUUUAUUGCAAAAGUCGUGGACAAUUUUCAAAACUUUUCCAACGCGUGUUUGUUGUAGUUUAACUUGAGUAUAGCAGGAGUUAUAGGUUUUUGAAUUUUAGUUGUCCAUUGUUUCAAUCCUAUCAGUUUUGCAACAAAAGAGUUGCAUUGUUUUAUCGGUUUGGAAACCAAUCCUGAGACACUCAUUACAAUAAAAGUUCUAGGGAAUGUUAUAAUCUUUUCAAUGAGUUUAUAUUUGCAAAAUGUUGUUAGCUGCAGGGAGUUAUGAUAUAAUGUAUAGAAUGUGCUUCGAUGAAUAUGUGGGCAAACAUAACAUACUUAAAUUGAUUCUUGUUUGCAUGAUGUGAGAUUAGGAUUAAAUGAUUUAAAAAGUUAUCAUAUUGCUUCUAUACUUAUAUUUGUUCUAGAUGUCUCCUAAUGAAGAACCUAAAGUUAUUAGUCUUUCAAUGAACGCUUAAUCUUAGAAGAGUAAUGAACCUGAUAAACUCUAUUGCUUGCUGUUGGGACUGCAUGACCAGUUUUAGUUAUGCAGCUAGUUCAAUGAAGUAAACCAUCUUUUCUGUAGAGAUGUUAUAUAUAAAAGUUGUAGCCAACUUAUUUAUCUUACUUGUGUAAAAAUUUCAUGACCAUUGGUCAAGUAGUUUGGGAGUUAUGAUUUUCUCAAGUCCAGUCUUGAAAUUUGUGCAGAUUCUGUAGAGAUUUCGAAGCUGACCUUGUUUGCCCAAUUUAAACUUUGAAUAACUUAUUAUAAAUUAUAAAGAAGUUGUAGUACUUUUCUUAAUCUUUUCAACGAAUUUUGGAUCACCCUUUUUGGAGAUCUAUAAGUUAAGUUACAGCUGUUUUAAGUGUGAUCUCUGAAUCUGUCCAAAUUUGAACAGCAGAGCCUUUCUCAUGUCUUUUGACCUUGACAUGCAUUGAAUUAACUUGAUAUGUUUAUAGAUGAAUUAUAGACAAUUCUACUAUCUUUCUAAAAAGCCUGGGAGCACCUGGAUUGGAUGAUUGAGACUCUAAUUAUGGAUUUUUGAAUUGAGUAGUGGAAUUAUGUCCAAGUCUGGACAUAAUUUACGUUUAGCAUUGUUUGACCUUUCUAAGUGUCAAAUCUUGUUGUGAUGAUAAUACCAAGGGUAUAGUGGACUUUAUAAGAUUUUUAUAAAGUCCUAGUUUACUAUCUUUCGAUGCAUAUUUUGUGAGUUAGGAGCAAAACAAUUAACCGCUGUGCUGCUAUCUAGAAAUAUGCAAGCAUUGAAUUGAUCUUUUGAAGUUACUCUUGUUUGGAUAGGUUUGGUUUAGGCUAUAUGAGCACCGUAUGUAUUGCAUUCAUAUAUAUAUAUAUAUAUAUAUAUAUAUAUAUAUAUAUAUAUAUAUAUAUAUAUAUAUAUAUAUUCAUUGAAGUAUUUGCAUGUGUCAAUGUUGAUUUGGUGUCAGGAAAGCUUUGUCCGAGGUAUAUAGGACCGUCUACUAUCUUAGCCGAGUUGGCCGCUUGGCUUAGCACAUGCAAUGGUCGGAGUCUAUGAUCAGAGUACACCAUGUAUUCCAUGUCUCUAUGUUGAGAAAGUAUUUGCGGAAUCCGGAUCGAUAAAUCGAGCUAGAGUCGAUUCCCAUGUAGCAAGACCUGAAUCUAGAGUGUCGUCUGCUGCGUAUCCUAGAAUCCUUGAAGCUCGAGGAGCUGAUGCGGCAGAAGUACCCCGAACUUUUGGUUAUGGGGUGAGUUUUUGUUGUCGCUGAUCUUUCCUUGUCAUUCCUAUAGAAGCGUCGGAAUUCGAGGUCGAAUUCUUUUUAAGGGGGGUAGAGUGUGAUACCCGGUUUGCAAAGAAGAGAAGUUGAAGGUUAUUCUUUUUGUUUGUUUUUUCUCUUAUUCGGGUGUCGCGCUUUGGGGAUUUAGAAUUUAUGGAAAACAUUCACCAGUAUAGCAGUAGAGUGGUUGGUCGGGAGCUGUCGUGCAAGCGAGUUGGGCCGCGAAUCGCAAUCCGGCCCACUAACCCUCCCCUAACCCUAGCCGCCCCCCCUUUUUCCCCCUUGGGUUGUUGCAGCCGCCCCUUCCCCUCCCCUUUCUCUUGGACGCCCCCCCUCUCCCAUCUUCUUCCUCCUCAAACCUUUGCAGCCCUCACCACCCAAAACCCUAGCCGCCCCCCCCAUUUCUCCCCCUCCUCCAAGGUGCAGCCCUCCCGUGUGGUUCUCCGUCGUGUGGCUGCGAUCUCAAUUGGAGUUUGGAGGGAGGAAGAAGGAAGGAGAAAGGGAAGAACCUAAGGUGAAUUUGUGAUUAACUUUUGUUGUUUUUGUGCUGCAAUCAAUUGGAUUAUGUGUUUAUCUUUGCGAAUCGGUAGAGGUGCUGUCCAGGAAUUUUGUGAGUGGGUGAACAGCAGUAGUUCUAGGGAUUUCUGGGAAUUUUCGUGGGGUAAUUAGUGGGAAUCAGUGGGAUAAUCAUGUAGAGCUUUGUCAUACCUUUCCAACGAGUACUUAUGCGCUCGAUUCGGAGUUAUAAUUUAGGAGAUAUCGUUGUUUGAAUCCGGGUAUGUUGCUGUCCAAAAAAACAGAUUUUUCAGGUGGAUGAACAGCAGUAGUAUUAGCAGUUUCUGGGAAUUUUUCGUGGGUAAUUAGUAUUAACCAGUAUUAUAAUCAUGUAGGGCUUUGUCUUAUCUUUCCAAUGAGUACUUAUGUGCUUGAUUUGGAACUAUAUUUUAAAAGAUAUCGCUGUUUGAAUCCGGGUAUGUUGCUGUAAAAAAAAACAGAUUUUUCAGGUGGGUGAACAGCAGUAGUAUUAGCAGUUUCUGGGAAUUUUUCGUGGUUAAUUAGUGCUAACUAGUAUGAUAAUCAUGUAUGGCUUUGUCUUAUCUUUCCAAUGAGUACUUAUGCGCUUGAAUUGGAAUUAUAUUUUAAAAGAUAUCGCGGUUUGAAUCCGGGUAUGUCGCUGUCCAAAAGAGAAAAAAACAGAUUACAGGGUUCAUCUUGUGAACUGUUUUGGGCUAAUUAGAUGUUGGAAUUUAAUUAUAAAUUGUAUACAAAACUUGUGGGGAAUUUUAUGUAGAUGCCUCUGGAGUAUUUGUUUGUUACCAAUGCUGUCAUAAUUUUGAAGUUAUGAAAUUAUUAAGCAGCGCCGCUGCAGUUUGGUGGGUGUGGGGAGAGAUGUAACCCGCGGCGGGGUUUGAGUUUGUGCGUAGGUGCGGCGUCGUUUAUGAGCCUGGUUAUGUGAAAUUGGUGCACUAAGUUGUGUGUCAAAAACAGGUGGUGGACUUUCGGAUCGUACUUAGGGAUUUGCCCAAACUUCCGGUAAAGGCAAGUAAAUACAGUGGUGGUUGCUACCGUUUGGUUUGCAUCCUAUUCCCUGUCAUUGAGUAUGCAUAAGUUUUAAAUAUGUUAAUCAUUGAAUUCUAUGAUGAAGUUUAUUUGUUUGGAAGUAUUAAUUCUCAAUUGUCUAAUAUUGUGGACGAUCAUAAUUGGAUAAUGAUAUAUGUGGUGGAUUCCCAUCUUGGAUGAAGUUGAAGUAUUUUUUUUGAAUCACAUUAUGUGAAGUGUUGUAGGCAUGACAUGCACAUCGCAUCAUCCAUCUUGCAUUUUGAAGUUAUGUCGUGAUCUUAUGGUUCGACCGUACCGGUACAUUUUUAGCAUCGUACGUUGCCCGAGGAGGGGUACGAUGCGGCUUCAUAUCCUUAGAGGUAUGAAGGCAGAAGUCAUCCUUGCAUUUGCAGACAUUUGCAUUCAUGAGGAAUAUAUGAAGUGUGACAUUACUAUGUUACUAUUGUGGUUUCUACCUGCGAGGUGUGGUAACUGGGUGUGUUGUACGUUGUAUACGUGCUGCACCUUCGUAAUAAGAAGGUUGUGGAAUCAAGUGGUGGUAAAACAAUGUUCUUAUGUGGUUAAACUGUUUGAUAUUAUUUUACUUGUUGAGAUGUGUCAUCUCACUCUUGCAUUACUCAAUGCAGGUACUGGAUACAUGUUGGGAAUGAGGGGAGUAGCAGCACGUCCACUUUCACUCUCACAAUAACGCUGCCCAGGCGCAGCCAGGAGUUAAUUAGAAACUUAUUGUCAAAGGAAGUUUGUUUUUUUAUAUAGUCAUGCGCACUGGUUAAGUCAGUUCAGGUCGUAUGUUAAUCUUUCCUUGCUAGCCGAUUAAUAAUACUUAGUAUGUUUUUGGCAUGAUAUAUGUUUAUACACUGUUGCCCCCUCAUUUAUGCAAACUUGCAAAGGGGAUGCUGCCGAAAUUUUAUAUAUGGACGUCAGAAGUGUAGUUCAGUAGCAUUCCAGGUUGUUUGUGGAACCCGGGGUGUUACACUUGGG
rnacentral:lncRNA from 1 species